GAUGAACGCUGGCGGCGUGCCUAAUACAUGCAAGUAGACCGCUGAAGGAGGAGCUUGCUCUUCUGGAUGAGUUGCGAACGGGUGAGUAACGCGUAGGUAACCUGCCUGGUAGCGGGGGAUAACUAUUGGAAACGAUAGCUAAUACCGCAUGACAACAGUUAUUGCAUGAUAACUGUUUAAAAGGGGCAACUGCUCCACUACCAGAUGGACCUGCGUUGUAUUAGCUAGUUGGUGAGGUAACGGCUCACCAAGGCGACGGUACAUAGCCGACCUGAGAGGGUGAUCGGCCACACUGGGAAGGAGACACGGCCCAGACUCCUACGGGAGGCAGCAGUAGGGAAUCGUCGGCAAUGGACGGAAGUCUGACCGAGCAACGCCGAGUGAGUGAAGAAGGUUUUCGGAUCGUAAAGCUCUGUUGUAAGAGAAGAACGAGUGUGAGAGUGGAAAGUUCACAAUGUGACGGUAUCUUACCAGAAAGGGACGGCUAACUACGUG
rnacentral:rRNA from 1 species